UACGGAGGGGGCGAGCGUUAUUCGGAAUUAUUGGGCGUAAAGGGCGCGUAGGCGGCUUGAUGUGUCAAAGGUGAAAUCCCUCGGCUCAACUGAGGAACUGCCUUUGAAACUGUCUGGCUUGAGGCCGGGAGAGGGUAGCGGAAUUCCCAGUUUAGCGGUGAAAUGCGUAGAUACUGGGAGGAACACCGGUGGCGAAGGCGGCUACCUGGACCGGUUCUGACGCUGAUGCGCGAAAGCGUGGGUAGCAAACAGG
rnacentral:rRNA from 1 species